GUUGAUUGGCGCGUACUAGCAUAGUUGCAUGUAUAAUAUUUUGCUGUACUUAAAUAUGUAGGUAGUAGGUAAUCUUAUUUUGGUAUUCCGUAGUCGUCACACACAGCGUAGGUAGGAAAUAAUUAAUAUUAUGAUAUAUAAAUAAAUAAUAAUACGACUUACGUGAAUUAAGGUGGUUUCACAUCACUCUUUCAAAUUCGAAGCACAGACUACAGACAGUGUAUGAAAAUAUUUCAUAAUAAAUUAAUAGUGACAUAGUGUAAAAUACCUUUAUGGACUAGUCUGCACUAUAUUUACACAGUUACGUGAGAGUAUAAUGCUAUGCUAUAAUCAUACACUGUCAAAUGACAAUUUUUGUCAAUACUCAUCAUUACUCAUUAAACAUGGUCGUCCGACUAUCGUGUGUGCUGCGUUAUAAGUGUUUAUAUAAGUACCUAUUACAAUUUACAACACGUCAACAUACAUACCGACAUACAGCAGUCGCCAGUCAUAGCGUACUUAAGACUUUAGUAAUUGCAGUGAGUGAUAUAAGCUGUUGUAAAGUUUAUAGUUGAAGGGUAAUAUAUUUAAUAAUGGGUGAUUUCCGAUAGCAAAGUGAAUCCUUGGUGCACUACAGAAGUCAAAAGUAUUAGGACAAUAGUCAUAUUAUAAUAUUACGAGUAUGUUGGCUAGAAAAUAUUGAUUAGUUAAAUUAAAAUACUAUGCUGGCUAAUUAGAAUAUCAUAUAUUAUAAUAAUAUUUAAACCUAUUGUUUUUUUUCUAAUUUUUAUCGUCAGUCAGUAAAGUUAUUUGAGUACGAUUUUAUUGUUUAUAUUAUUUUUAUAUAUACUUAAAUAACUUAUUUGUCAUUUGUUUUCAUUUUAAGUACACUAUAAGUUUUUUUUUAACUAGUUUUAUUUUACAAAAAAUUAUCUUUGAUUUUAAAUGUUUUUAUUCUAAUUUACAAUUUUAAUUUUAGUAUAUAAUUUUUCAAGAAUGCUUCGCGAUCAGAUCUGCGUUUUCUAAUAUUAUCCACAUAAUUCAAGGUAUAGAAUCAUUUGAUUUGUUUUAUUUUUUAUCAUUGGUAAAAUAAUAUUCAAGAAACUAAGAAAGACAAGCAAGAUUUUAGAUGUACAAUGGGUUAUUAAUAAUGUCAUAUAAUGAUUCGUAAAAAACAUGUUACUUUUCUAUUACAGAAUUAUUAAAAUAUAAUUGAUAAUA